CUACUCACGUGCCGUUGACGAUGCUUCAAGCCAUCAGCGGAAACGGUCCGUAAAGGCAGCUGAAAUUCUGCCUUUACACCGUGGACUGCGUGCAUGUGCUGCGCACUGCGCAUGUGCACCAGCCUACUGCGCAUGCGCAAGUUUCUUGGCGGGUUUUUCCAAAGAUGGAUAGUGAUUACCUGAAGAGUUUCUCGAAGCAAACUGAUGGAUAUUUUUGCUGU